AGAAGAAAAAAAAAAAGAAAAAGUAUAAUCCUGGUGAUAUUGUCAGACAUAAGUGAAGUGCUUUACAAAGUGUUUCAUUUGGGGCAUUUCAUCAAGUCAAAUAUAUAGUAGAUCUGUGAAACAACAGAAUUUUUUUCUUGUUAGGACCUUUCAGGAUAUGAAAUUAUCAAAUGAUUCUGCCCUGUUCCUUAAUAACUGGUUGAAUGUGUGUUCCUCAGAUAGACCAUUUCCUUACCUAACUGGUGUGGAGGUGGUUACAUGCUCUCUGUAACACAGUGAUAUGUGAAGGCUUCAGAGGGCACAAUCUAGUCCUACAGUCAUCUGCAGCUGAGUCACAUUCUGGUUAUAAAAAGAAGAUACCACAGGUACUGAGAACUAUCUUCUUCCAGUUUGUAAGGAUGAAGAGUGGAAGGACACUGACAACUGAUGAUUUAUAAAAUCCAACCAGCUCAGCUGGUGCUCAUAAAGAAGCAAAAAAAGCAUGAAAGAAGCUCAUGUUAUUCCAGGUGAUAUGACAGAGACAGGUAGAGAGCAAAAUGGUUUUAGACCCCUGAAGCUUCUGCAGACAUGGAAAAUAACUUCUUCUGAUUUUGUGAGAUCUGUGUUGACUUGAUAACUAUCAUACAGAAGCUGUUUAAUCCUUCAGGUAUAGGAAAAUACAUCAGCAUCCAGACAAUUAUUUGCUCCUGUUUCUGGAAUACUUAACAAAAUUGUGGUGCCUAGGCAUAGCCGUGUUUUUAAGCUUUGCUUGUUUACCUAGUCAUGCCUUUGGUGCAGUCAAGUCUGGACAAACUUCCUUGCUCCAGCAAUUCUUGAUUUCAGCUUGGCUAGAGUAGUGUUAGUAUAUUUUUGCUUUAAAUGAGGGAAGAAUAGCCAGGAUUAUGUCUCUCUUACUUUGCUUGUGGCAUGAGAAAAUGUUCAUUUUUAUUUCAGUCUUUCUCAAAUAUUAGUUUGGGGGUUGUUCUUUUUCUUUUUGUUGUUGUUAGAAAACUCUGUUAGGAAAUGUUGAAGUGGACAUUUGCCAAAGUCUUCAUAUAGAAAUAAUGAUAAUCAGUAUGCUGUGUCACCAAAAAAUGUAAGUUGUUUUUUUGUAUGUAUGGAAUUAGUUUUGGUUAUCAAUCAAGUUUUCCUCAGCUUUUUGUUUGCUCUCUCAAUCACGAUUUUGAACUAAGCUUAAAACUGACUAAUCAAUACAGACUGCCUAAAUUCCUGUCUCAUUUCUUUGAACAAGGAUGAGAGGACAGAAACAAAGGCAAGUGAUAUUUUCUUACCACUCCUCUCACUAUCAAAGGUCUCCCACACCUAAUACGUAAUGAAAUAUCUGGAAAUGUCCAUAUGGCUCCUGUGGCAUUUAGCACUAUUAAUUUUAUUUUGUCUGGGUUUGAAACUUUAUGAAGUAUAAUGUUCUCUAACCUUUCAAAAACAUUAAUUGGUGUGAUGUCAAUGUUUCCUAAGCGCUCAGCCUUUGUUAUUGUAAACCUGACUCUUGUUUACAAAAGCCCAGGCUGAAAUUCACUGACUUGCAGGAAAAAAAAAAAAAAAAACAGAAGAAAGAAGAAAAAGAAUAUUUUGCAUCUUAACACUUUCUGUAUUUUCUCUUUAAAAUUCCAUUCCUCUUUGACAAGUAAAAUAACUUUUUAUGUGUGUUUAUUUCAAAUUCUUUGCUGUAUCUUGAACCAUUGCUGUUAUUUAUCUUAACAUUUUAACCUGUGCUAGCUGUAUAAAAUUUAAUUUUUUCUAUUGUAGUUGUACCAAAAACAUCCCUUCCACUCUUGAUUUUUGUUUAGUACAAACUGAAGCUGAUUUAUAUGGUUGAAGAUUCAUCUCCUAGUAGAAAACUGUAACUGUACAAUUUAUAUUGGCAAGUUGCCCCUAAUUGUCAAUUUUUACUUUUUCACUAUUUCUUUGAUAUGAUAAACAUUUCUUUUUUCUAUAGUGUUACACUUUUUCUUUUUUCAAGUUACUCAUCUGCAGAACUGAAAAAAAAUAUUAAAACCCCUGAAAAUCUUAGUUACGUCUUUAGAAUUGCUGGUCUCUGUUGCAGGUUGUGACAUAGUCUGUUUGCAUGCUGAAUAUUGAAAGCAACGCUGAAACAAUCACAGUCAUGCUAUCAACUCCAGCUUGGAAGCACAGCAGCAGCUGAGAUGCAGCAGUCCUUUCCAAUAGUUGUGGUAUGCCUAGAGAGGAAAGAUACUGCUCUGUCAGUGAAAAUGUGAAUUUUGGUCUAUUGUGUGAAUACUCUGAAUCUACAUGCAGUGUCAGAAAGUUUUCAGUGUGGGAGCAAAGUACCUUAUUGGUCAUAAGGAUGACCAUAUGUUGGUGCUGGUAUGAAAUCACUGACAUGCUGUUAAUUCAUCUGCAUCCAUGGGACCGUAACUUCUUCCUUGGAAAAGUAUGGACAGGUAGCUGCUGAUGUAUUAAGAACUUUUAGUAACAAUCACUAUGUCCUCACUAACUUAUUCUUUUAAAUAAACUUCAUCAUUAAAAAUGCAGUAAUUUUAUCACUGAAUUAGUGAUACUAAUAAAAUAUUUAAUUAAGUCAA